rnacentral:lncRNA from 1 species
UAAUAAAACUAAUGUACAAUGUCCAUGUUGUCUUAAUUUCUUUCAAUGUACCAACAAUGGAAAUAACUUGAAGUGUAGCAAACCUUAGGUUAUCAACCUCAAUUUAUAUACAGGUUUGUAAAUUAUUUGUAGACAUUGUUUUAAAAAAAAAUAAUUUGAAAUAAAUUUACAUGGGAAGAGUAAUCAGGAGAGUAACUCUAUAUUCGCUAACAUGCACCGCAUCUGAUCACAGAAAAUUUUGAGAAAUAAAACUAGAGGCUCUAAAGAGCCUGUGUCGCUCACCUUGGUCUAUGUGAAUAUUAAACAAAAAUUAUGUUUUGGUGAUGGUGAUGUGUUUGUACAUCUUACUUUACUGAACAUUCUUGCUACUUACAAUUAUCUCUAUCUAUAAUGAACUUGGCCCAGUAGUUUCAGUGGAAAAUGUUAGUUAAAAUUUACAAAUUUUAUGAAAAUUGUUAAAAAUUGACUAUAAAGGACAAU